rnacentral:rRNA from 1 species
AUACGUAGGGAGCGAGCGUUGUCCGGAAUUACUGGGUGUAAAGGGAGCGUAGGCGGGAUCGCAAGUCAGAUGUGAAAACUAUGGGCUUAACCCAUAAAUUGCUUUCAAAACUGCUGGCCUUGAGUAGUGCAGAGGUAGGCGGAAUUCCCGGUGUAGCGGUGGAAUGCGUAGAUAUCGGGAGGAACACCAGUGGCGAAGGCGGCCUACUGGGCACCAACUGACGCUGAGGCUCGAAAGUGUGGGUAGCAAACAGGAUUAGAUACCCUGGUAGUCCACACCGUAAACGAUGAUUACUAGGUGUUGGAGGAUUGACCCCUUCAGUGCCGCAGUUAACACAAUAAGUAAUCCACCUGGGGAGUACGACCGCAAGGUUGAAACUCAAAGGAAUUGACGGGGGCCCGCACAAGCAGUGGAGUAUGUGGUUUAAUUCGACGCAACGCGAAGAACCUUACCAGGUCUUGACAUCCGAUGCAUAGCGCAGAGAUGCGUGAAGUCCUUCGGGACAUCGAGACAGGUGGCGCAUGGUUGUCGUCAGCUCGUGUCGUGAGAUGUUGGGUUAAGUCCCGCAACGAGCGCAACCCUUAUUGCCAGUUACUACGCAAGAGGACUCUGGCGAGACUGCCGUUGACAAAACGGAGGAAGGUGGGGAUGACGUCAAAUCAUCAUGCCCUUUAUGACCUGGGCUACACACGUACUACAAUGGCGUUUAACAAAGAGAAGCAAGACCGCGAGGUGGAGCAAAACUCAAAAACAACGUCUCAGUUCAGAUUGCAGGCUGCAACUCGCCUGCAUGAAGUCGGAAUUGCUAGUAAUCGCGGAUCAGCAUGCCGCGGUGAAUACGUUCCCGGGCCUUGUACACACCGCCCGUCACACCAUGAGAGCCGGGGGGACCCGAAGUCGGUAGUCUAACCGCAAGGAGGACGCCGCCGAAGGUAAAACUGGUGAUUGGGGUG